rnacentral:rRNA from 1 species
GAUGAACGCUAGCUACAGGCUUAACACAUGCAAGUCGAGGGGAAACGGCAUUAAGUGCUUGCACUUUUUGGACGUCGACCGGCGCACGGGUGAGUAACGCGUAUCCAACCUUCCCAUGACUAAGGGAUAACCUGCCGAAAGGCAGACUAAUACCUUAUGGUCUUCACUGACGGCAUCAGAUGUGAAGUCAAGAUUUAUCGGUUAUGGAUGGGGAUGCGUCUGAUUAGCUGGUUGGCGGGGUAACGGCCCACCAAGGCAACGAUCAGUAGGGGUUCGGAGAGGAAGGUCGCCCACAUUGGAACUGGGACACGGUCCAAACUCCUACGGGAGGGAGCAGUGAGGAAUAUUGGUCAAUGGGCGAGAGCCUGAACCAGCCAAGUAGCGUGCAGGAUGACGGCGCUAUGGGUUGUAAACUGCUUUUGGAUGGGGAUAAAGUCAAUCACGUGUGAUUGUUUGCAGGUACCAGACGAAUAAGGACCGGCUAAUUCCGUG